AAUAUUUUCGUUUAUUAAGAAGAUUAAGCGCUAUAAAAAUGUUUCCUCGUUCGGUGUGGCAAUCUAUUUCGAUGAAAACUUACAAAAUAAAUCACAAUAUUUUUAAUAUUAAUCAAAACGGCUUUUGCUAAUAAUUAAUUCAUCAAUUCUAAACAACCUUCACUAAUUACAUACGGUUAUUAUAUGAGGACACAAUACGUUCUUCGUUUUGGGAGGAUCGAUUACAAUGCGACAAAUAGCCAUAUAAUAUUUCGCUACUAUUAUUGUAUAAAAAGAUACAAAUAUGUAUAAAUUAUUAGUUUAUGAUCUUUUAAUUCACAAAAUAAACAGAGGAGAUAUAUGUAUAUAUUAUCAUUUCUGCAUAUCUUUUGUCUGCAUAUUUUUCGAAAAAAUAACGAUCAAACAUAUUCGUUCGUUUCGCUACGUACAAAUGUAUAUACAGUGUGUAGAGAAAAUUCGUACUUUAUUUUAGUAUAAUUGGAAAAUACAUUUGUCCCAAAUACACGGAGGAAACCUAUAGAUUUCAAGCUGUAGAUACAAAUCGCUUUUACAUUCGUCUCGUGCACAUGACCGAUAGAUGACGGUCUUCUGCGAGAUUUUUUUUCCAUUUAUGUAAGAUCCCAUACAACAUUUUUUAAGUAUUUCAUAAUCAACGCGACGCUUGUAUAAAACUGCAUCGAUCGCACGAACAAGGUAGAGACAAGGUGCUUCAUGAAAGCUGCGUUUUAUUAAAAAUAUCGUAAUUAUUGUGUUUAUAUUAUUUCAUACUUUACUAUAAAUAUAACAUCACACUUCAAGCUACGAUUUAAUUUAAUCUUUCGUUCUGGUUUCCUUUUCUUCUUUUCAAAUUUUAUUUCAAGUUGAUUUUUCUCAAAAUAAAGACACUUUUAUCUAUCUUGUUCCUGCUCGAUGUACGUAUAUAGAAAGAUCGUUUAGCAGAAAUGACUCCGGCAGAAUUAACGCCUUGGUUUCGGCGCUCGCGAGUGUAUCGGCUUAUUGUGUAACAUGUGUUCGCAUUUGGGAAUGUGACGCUCGGCGGCGGCCUUAUUGAAUUUUCUUCCGCAGUGGGGACACUGAAUGUAAUCGUAGUUAUCGCUAACCGGCGGUGGUGGCAAAUCGCUGAGCUUGCCUCCUGCGGCCAGGUGUGCUUGUACUUGCUUGGCCGAGCGUAUGGCGUUAAUGAAAUCCUCGUGUUUGCGCCGCCAGUUCGACUUUAUCUCCGGCUUCUUCGAUUUCUGAAACAUGCAAAACGACAAUUCGUCUCAUUCCUUCAGAUCGAUAUCUCUUGUCCUUCUCCCUAAAAGAGAAGAAAAAAAAAAUAAAACGAUUGAUUCUUUCGCGAUAUAAAUGGAUCUCUUAUCGAUAAUGGAUUUCUCUUCGUGAUACGGACCAGCCUUGUCAUUAAAAAAGAUUUCUAUCUAUUAAAAUAUAUAUAAGAUAGUGGUAUUCUUCCACCACUGAGAAGAUUAGG
rnacentral:misc_RNA from 1 species